rnacentral:rRNA from 1 species
GACGAACGCUGGCGGCGUGCUUAACACAUGCAAGUCGAACGGUAAGGCCCUUCGGGGUACACGAGUGGCGAACGGGUGAGUAGCACGUGGGUGAUCUGCCCUGCACUUCGGGAUAAGCCUGGGAAACUGGGUCUAAUACCGGAUAGGACCCUGGGAUGCAUGUCCUGGGGUGGAAAGCUUUUGCGGUGUGGGGAUGGGCCCGCGGCCUAUCAGCUUGUUGGUGGGGUGAUGGCCUACCAAGGCGACGACGGGUAGCCGGCCUGAGAGGGUGACCGGCCACACUGGGACUGAGAUACGGCCCAGACUCCUACGGGAGGCAGCAGGGGGGAAUAUUGCACAAUGGGCGCAAGCCUGAUGCAGCGACGCCGCGUGAGGGAUGACGGCCUUCGGGUUGUAAACCUCUUUCAGCACCGACGAAGCGCAAGUGACGGUAGGUGCAGAGGAAGGACCGGCCAACUACGUGCCAGCAGCCGCCGUAA